rnacentral:rRNA from 1 species
GGGGAAUCUUGCGCAAUGGGCGAAAGCCUGACGCAGCGACGCCGCGUGAGGGAUGACGGCCUUCGGGUUGUAAACCUCUUUCAGCAGGGACGAAGCGCAAGUGACGGUACCUGCAGAAGAAGCACCGGCUAACUACGUGCCAGCAGCCGCGGUAAUACGUAGGGUGCGAGCGUUGUCCGGAAUUAUUGGGCGUAAAGAGCUCGUAGGCGGUUUGUUGCGUCGGCCGUGAAAACUUCACGCUUAACGUGGAGCCUGCGGUCGAUACGGGCAGACUUGAGUUCGGCAGGGGAGACUGGAAUUCCUGGUGUAGCGGUGAAAUGCGCAGAUAUCAGGAGGAACACCGGUGGCGAAGGCGGGUCUCUGGGCCGAUACUGACGCUGAGGAGCGAAAGCGUGGGGAGCAAAC